rnacentral:rRNA from 1 species
AAAUUGAAGAGUUUGAUCAUGGCUCAGAUUGAACGCUGGCGGCAGGCCUAACACAUGCAAGUCGAACGGUAACAGAAAGCAGCUUGCUGCUUUGCUGACGAGUGGCGGACGGGUGAGUAAUGUCUGGGAAACUGCCCGAUGGAGGGGGAUAACUACUGGAAACGGUAGCUAAUA